UGGUGUGUGGUGUAUGCUGGUAUGAACAGACUGACAGUGUUUGAAUCACACUGACAGCUGACUGAGGCUCCUCUCUCUCUCUCUCCCUCUUUGUCUUCUCCCCUUGAAACUGGGAUGCACUUCAUUAAGACUGGAUCUGUUGAUCACUUGACAGAUAAAGCUGUCAAGUCUGGAUACUUCCCAGAAAGAGCUGCACUGCAUCCCCACACCUGAAAUCUUUGACCUGAAGGCUGCAGUCAUGAGAGACCUGGCAGGUGCACCUGCUGUUUGACAGUGCCACUAAAUCAUGUGAUUAACAGCGUCGGCGAUGCGGCAAAACAUGAAUUAUGGAUAAUCUGUACUAUUCCCGGUUUACUCACGCCAAAAAUAUCCAGGAUGACAGCUGUUUUUGGUCCCAGAUGAAAAAUCGCAAAAAUCUGUUUAUUGUAGUGGUGCCGUUGGCGGAUUCGUCCCAGUUAGAUCCGCUCAAACUUAGAGAAGCAUCAUCCUCAGCCGCAGCGACGGUCGCGCCUGCGUCCUGCAGUAUCCUGUGCUCUGGGAUGUUCAGCCGGUCAGACCUGGACUGAUCCGGGCUGCAGAGCGAGCAAAGAGGAAGAAUCUGCUGCCUCCGCCUGCAUGCCUUCCUGCUGGUCGAAGUUGUCGAAGUUGUCGCUAAACAGCAGGCACGCAUUAGGAUGAAGAUGAGAGGAGAGAUCUGAUUGCAUGCUCCGUGCGCAUGUGAAAACGAAGCUCCGAUCAGGUUGAUCGCAGCGUGCGGAGGCAGGAGCUUCUUCACACGUUACACCGUUCAGUGUGUUUUUUUUCCCCUUAGUGCCAAUGGUUUAAUGUAAAGCUCGUGGAAGAACUAUAUAUCAGCCUAUUGUAUUUCUUAUUGUGCUCAUUUUGAGUGAAUACACGAUCAUAAAUCAAUUACAUUCGCACAUAUUCUACUCGAUCUUCACACCUUCAGGAUUCUGUUGCAAGAGAGGAGGCAAUGCCAGCACACUACUGCUGAGCUCAGCAUCUGUCCUGCAUGUGGAAACAGAUGGCUGCUGUGAUCGUAAGCAUAUGGAUUCUAUACCCUUACUUACAUCAAGUGUCAUUUUAACCCAUAUGCGUGUGCUCUGGACAGAACUGGUGUUAGUUUUCAACUCAAGUUUGUCAAAAGUAUAUUAACAAUAUAUAAUAUUUAAAACGGAUAUUUUGGGAUUAAAUGGAGAAAAAAAAAAAGUUGACAAUAAUUUUAUCAGGUGGUUUUGGACAAAUGUAUUUAAUCCUGACAUCGCCUUGUAAUUCCAAGUUUGAAGUUGGUUGUCUUAUAAUAACAUGAUAAUAACCGAAGUGAAGACAACUAAAUCAUUCUCCAUGUAACCUGAGUAACUCCAUCUCAUGAAUCCCAAAAAGGCCAUGACAUGUGGUUGACAGCUCUAGAAAAUAUCAUGUGAUUAUGAUGUAUAAAAACAAAAAAGUUCUCCCAAAUAGACUUGGCUCACCUAACCAUUCCUAAAUGAUGUUGGAGAUUCAAUUAUUAAUAUACCUAUUAACAUUCAAGUAUUCAUGUGAUCCUUAAAUAUAGAAUGAUGUAAAAAUGAAUACGAGAAACUUCUGUUAGUGGCAGUCCAACAUUCAGUUAGUCUACUGUAUAUUCAAUGUGUAGUGUCUGCCAGCUGACCUCUGUCUGCACUUUGAUGUCAUAAAAAUGCAAAUGAACAGAACUGUUAUUCAGGAAAUCUGUUCCAUUUAAUCUCCUUUUGCCUUGCGAGUUGUUUAUUAUGCGUCAUGUUUUUCAAGUUUCUUCUUCGCUCCAAAUGGGGCCAAGUUGUACUGAGUCAAAUUAAAAACUGUCAUGCUGAGCCAUUAUGUAACCACAACACUAUGAAUGAUAUAUUGCUUGUUUGUUUGUCUGGCCCUACUACAUUAUUAGUUCACCCAUUUGUAGAAUGAAGCAAAGGGCAUGGUGGAGUCGGGGGCUGGGGGAGGUGACGUGUUGGCUCAAUCUCACUCUGAGCCCAUUCUUGUGUUCAUAAACAAUGCGUGCCAUCAGUUCUGAAUCCCAGUGUCUGUGCCAGCUUAGUACCCAUUGUGCUGAUGGGUCAACCUGAUCAACCAAGUGCUUUAUGAAGCCAGAGAGCAGUGGAGCUCAGAGGAAAAUGAAGGAUGCUGUGGUAAAUCAUUCAAUCAUAAACAAGCCAUGUGAACAAUAAAGGCUAUUUUAUCAUAACUC